CUUGAAAAUUAUAGAAUUCCAUGCAGAUUUUCAGCCUCUGUAGGUAAGCUUUUGCAAAGUGUUUUUCUGCACUUGUCCCCCCUCCUUGCCCCUGAUCGCUCUGCCCCUCUCUUGGGGGGGUUCCUGCAUCUGUUUAUGCCCUGGAGGGCCACACCACACUCCCACAAGAUGAACAUUAUACAAAAGAAAACUCAGUGGAAGGUUCCUUCUUUAAACAGAAAGCACUCUCUUCAUCUGCCAAAUGAAGUGAGAAGGGUAGGAAAAUUAGAUUUUAUUCAAAAAAUAUAUUUAAAACUGAUGUUUUUUCAGUUCUGUCUUAGGGCUAGUUAGCAGUGUUAUGAGACACAAACAGGAAAGAGUGAGGUAGAAAGGUAUGGAAGGUACUGGGCAUGGCGGCUGAAGCUUGUAACCCCAGCGCUCUGGGAGGCCAGGGUGGGACAACUGCUUGAGGUCAGUUUGAGAACAGCCCGGGCGACAUAGCAAGACCCCAUCUCCACAGCAAAUUAAAAAAAAAAAUUAGCCACAUGUGGUGGCAUGUGCCUGUGGUCCCAGCUACUUGGGAGACUGAGGCAGGAGGAUUGCUUGACCCCAGGAGUUUGAGACCAGUCUGGGCAACAUAGCAAGACCCUGUCUCUACCACAAAAGAAAAGAAAAAGAUGGAAGGGGAAAAGAGAAGAGUUAAAAAUAAAGCAGAGAGGAAGAGCAGUAAGAACGGUGAAGGAAGGGAGGAAAGGAAGGAAAGGGAGGGAGGGAGGAAGGAAAGGGAGGAAGGGAAGGGAGGGGAGGGAAGGAAAGGGAGGAAGGGAAGGGAGGGAAGGGAAGGAAGGAAAGGGAGGGAGGGAGGAAGGAGAGGGAGGAAGGAAAGGGAGGAAGGGAAGGGAGAGAGGGAGCAAGGCAGGAAGGGAGGGAAGGAGAGAGGAAGGGAGGUAGGUUGGUUGGUUGGUUGGUCGGUCCUAGACCAAUCAGAGUUUGCAUUUCAUUUCAGCAACAUCCCUGGGACAGGGAAAGAUUUGUGCCCAUGUGAUCAAGUGUGAGAAACUCACUAAGCCCUAACUUAUUUCUGAGUCACCAUUCAGAGAUAUUGAUUUUUUCAACUUUUGAUUUCCAACUUCAAAACAAAACAAAGGGAUUCAAGAAAACUUUUGAAGGUGAUGUGUAUGUUUAUUACUCUUGUGGUGAUGGUAGCAGUAGUGUAUACUUAAGUCCCAACUCACCAAAUUACAUUAUGUGCACUAAUUACACCUUACUGAAGCUGGAAGGAAAUGAUAAUAAAAAGUUUUUGAGUUCUUGUAAUUUGACAGCAAACUGAGAUUUUACUCUUGUAACUUGUGAUCCACUGAUUCCUUCAGCAAGCAUUUGCUGACAUUUACCAAUUUCCUGAGUCUUGUUGAUGAAUACUAGAGAAGGAUGUUGAAGAGCACUAAAUAGGUAACCUCAAGCAGUGACGUUAUAUCUGAAUAAAGUGACUGAGGUUCACUUUUAAGUAGGCAGCGUGCUUUGAGGCCUGAAAGGGCUCGGGUUGAAUGGGCCCUGCCAGCCAUGGAUCCUUGUGUAGAGGCUGGGCAAAAAAAUGCUCCAUUUUACCCCUUUCGCCAAGAAUUUAAAUAGCCCCUUUUCCUGCUCGUUUGGCCAAGUAGAAGGGAAAGCCUUUGAGGCUAUUCAUGUUUUCACUGCCUGGUUUUCUGGGUCAGGAUUAGGUCAUGACCAUUUCAUGUUUGUUCAUUUGGCCUUGGGCCCCUGGGGCAGGUAGGGUCUGGCCAGGGGAAAGAUUCUUUUCCAGAUUCUUUUUUUUUUUUUUUUUGAGAUGGAGUCUCGCUCUGUGGCUCAGGCUGGAGUGCAGUGGCACGAUCUCAGCUCACUGCAACCUCCGCCUCCCAGGUUCAAGUGAUUCUCCUGCCUCAGCCUUCUGAGUAGCUGGGAUCACAGGUGUCUGCCACCACACCCGGCUAAUUUUUGUAUUUUUAGUAGAGACGGGGUUUCACCAUGUUGGUCAGGUAGUCUCAAACUCCUGACCUCAGGUGAUCCGCCCGCCUCGGCCUCCCAAAGUACAGGCAUGAGCCACCGCGCCCAGUCCUUUUCCAGAUUCUUGUAGCCAGCAAAGACCAGCACCAAACGUUUGCUGGGCUAAUGGAUGGGUGGAUGCAAAUGAAUGUUUGCAUUUGAAUGAAAUGACUGAGAACAAAUCUUUGCCUGCUUUCAAGUUGUUGAGUGUCCCUCUACUGCAUCAGAGGAGGGGUUUUUCUAUUUGUAUGUUAUUCCUCGCCUGUCAUGACAACAGUGUUUUUGAACAAUGGUGAAAAGGAGCUCCCUCUUUGAUUUUUGUAGAUGGCAGUUGAAUUCCUGCAUGAACUGAAUGUUCCAUUUUUCAAAGUUGGAUCUGGAGACACUAAUAAUUUUCCUUAUCUGGAAAAGACAGCCAAAAAAGGUCGCCCAAUGGUGAUCUCCAGCGGGAUGCAGUCGAUGGACACCAUGAAGCAAGUUUAUCAGAUCGUGAAGCCCCUCAACCCCAACUUCUGCUUCUUGCAGUGUACCAGCGCGUACCCGCUCCAGCCUGAGGACGUCAACUUGCGGGUCAUCUCGGAAUAUCAGAAGCUCUUUCCUGACAUUCCCAUAGGGUAUUCUGGGCAUGAAACAGGCAUAGCGAUAUCUGUGGCCGCAGUGGCUCUGGGGGCCAAGGUGUUGGAACGUCACAUAACUUUGGACAAGACCUGGAAGGGGAGUGACCACUCGGCCUCGCUGGAGCCUGGAGAACUGGCCGAGCUGGUGCGGUCAGUGCAUCUUGUGGAGCGUGCCCUGGGCUCCCCAACCAAGCAGCUGCUGCCCUGUGAGAUGGCCUGCAAUGAGAAGCUGGGCAAGUCUGUGGUGGCCAAAGUGAAAAUUCCGGAAGGCACCAUUCUAACAAUGGACAUGCUCACCGUGAAGGUGGGUGAGCCCAAAGGCUAUCCUCCUGAAGACAUCUUUAAUCUAGUGGGCAAGAAGGUCCUGGUCACUGUUGAAGAGGAUGACACCAUCAUGGAAGAAUUGGUAGAUAAUCAUGGCAAAAAAAUCAAGUCUUAAAAAUAAAGUGCCAUUCUCUG
rnacentral:sRNA from 1 species